ACAGAAAGAGCCAGGAUCCCAGACUGUGCUGAAGCUUCAUGAGACCUCUCCUCGUCUGUGCACGAAAGAGGAGCCGGACACAGAGUGUCCAGCCGACUCUGGAGCCCAGGCUGUUGCUUCCCGGUCUGGUGGUGAGUCCUCCAUUGUCUGAUGUGGGUAAGUCCAAGACCAAGGAGCCAGCAGAUUCAGAGUCCAGGGAGGGCUGUUCCUGAUUUGCAGAUGGCGCCUUCUCUUUAUGUCUUCACAAGAUUGUGAAGCCUGUAGCUUGGAAGAUACAGGACAUAGGUGAAAGUGUUUGUACCAUUCAUUUAAAGGCAUAAAUGUCCAAUGGGGCCAUCUUGUGAUACAUGCACUGUCACAGGAAAAGUUUCCAGGAAAAGUCAAGCCAGGGCUUCACAGAAGAUCAAAAGAAAGAGACAAGGAGAAGCUAAGUGUAUUAGUCAGGAUUCUCUAAGGGACAGAACUAAUAGAAUAUAUAUACACACACAAACACACACACACACACAUAUAUAUACAUAUAAAUAAAAGGGAGUUUAUUAAGGAGUAUUAACUCACACAAUCACAAGGUCCCACAACAGGCCGGGCCAUCUGUAAGCUGAGGAACAAGGAAGCCAGUCUGAAUCCCAAAGAUGACAAACUUGGAGUUCAAUGUUCAAGGGCAGGAAGCAUCCAGCACAGGAGAUAGAUGUAGGCUGGGAGGCUAAGCCAGUCAAGACUUUUCACGUUUUUCUGCCUGUUUCAUAUCCUAGCUGCAAUGGCAGCUGAUUAGAUGGUGCCCACCCAGAUUAAGGGUGGGUCUGCCUUUCCCAGCACACUGACUCAAAUGUUUAUCUCCUUUGGCAACACCCUCACAGACACACUCAGGAUUAAUAUUUUGCUUCCUUCCAUCCAAUCAAGUUGACACUCAGUAUUAACCAUCACACUAAGCUUGUUAUUUUAUAGAAAUGCUUGAAAACCAGAGAUAAAUGCAGCUACAAAUGAACGAUGACUCUGCGUUUUCCUUGUAUAUAUAAAGAUCAACAAUAACACUUAGGUCAUGAAACCCACCUACUUUACAGAUCAUUAUGGAAAUAAUACACUGCUUCAGCAAUGGAGAAACAAUCAUCCAUAUUUAUGCAAGAACUAAAUUCAAGUUUGAAAGCUUGCUUUGAGCUUGAAGAUAUAAAACAUGAUUCUGUGACAGUAAACAAUGUAUAACAAAUCUUACAGAAAUUUAUGUGAUUACUAAAAAAAAAUCAAUUCAUCAAUUCAAUAAACUGAGUACCGUAUUACUUUUCUAUUGCUUCUUUACCAAAUAAAUACAAGCUUUGCAGUUUAAAACAACAGAAAUUUAAUUUUUUAUAGUUCUGAGGGUCAGUAACCUAAAACUGAUCUUAUGAAAUAAAGUUAAAUCUUGGGGAUAUGGGUGUGGACAGGGCUGGUUUCUUCUGGGGCUCUGAUGGUAAAAUUUGCUUCCUUGCCUUUUCUCCUUCUAGGGAGCCUGCAUUCCCUGCCUCCUAGUGGCUUCCUCCCAUCACUCGAACCUCUGUUUCCAGCCUCAGGAUUCCUAAUGUGACUCUGACGUUUCAUCUCCUGUUUAUGAGGACGCUUCUGAUUGCUAAGAUACAUACGGUGACACUAUGGAAGUUAACUUGAAGAUUAAAACCCUGAAAAAUAGAAAGAAUCUUCUAUGGUAUAUCACAGAGAUUACAAGGGCCUGAAUUAGAGUGGUGACAUUUUCAUCCCUUGAUAAUGGAUUAAAAACAAUUGAAUGAAGCUUUGGGGUGAACUUACAGGACUUUAUGGCAAACUUCAUAUGGGAGACUUACAUGAAGGGAGGAAGAAAUGCGUAUGUGUACAAAAUCAUGUGGAUAGAUGUGCAUUUGUGGGUAUCUGUGAAUACAAAUACACAAUUUUCAGACAGAAGUAGUAUAAGAAAAGGAAAUCAAACAAAGUCAAACAUUUUAAGUGUAGCUCUUGGUGCACUUUAAAAAAUUAUUAAAUUGAAGCUGUAGUUUAUUCUCAUCAUUGUCAUCCUAUAUUAGUGAUUUUCUUUAGCUUUUGAAAUUAAAUUCAUAAUAUUACAAUUCUGAAUUCCUAUGUAUGUAUAUGUUAAGAAUCCUUUAAUGGGACUGACUUUCAUAUGUGUGUGGCUGCAUUCUGAAAUAGUUGUCUAGUUGAUACAUAAAGCAGUGAGUGCUAUUUGUAAGAUAUAUUUAUAUUUAAAGUCUUCAUACAGUUAUUAACUAGCUCCAAUAUUACUGAAAUGAUUUCUCCAAAUAUCCUAUAUUUAAUUAUCAUGCUGGCAAAUUUAUUAUAACUUUGGUUUGAAAAAAUAUAUUAUGAUACAUAUCCACUGACUAAUGCCACCUAUCUGCUUUCCUGAAUUCAAAGUUUAUGAUUAUUUCCAUAAAUGUAUUUAUCAGUAUAAUCAAAAAUAAAAAUAACAUAAAU
rnacentral:lncRNA from 1 species